GAAAUGCGAUAAGUAAUGUGAAUUGUAGAAUUCAGUGAAUCAUCGAAUCUUUGAACGCACCUUGCGCUCCUUGGUAUUCCUUGGAGCAUGCCUGUUUGAGUAUCAUGAAAUCUUCAAAGUAAAUCUUUUGUUAACUCAAUUGGUUUCUACUUUGGUAUUGGAGGUCUUUGCAGCUUCACACCUGCUCCUCUUUGUUCAUUAGCUGGAUCUCAGUGUUAUGCUUGGUUCCACUCGGCGUGAUAAGUUAUCUAUCGCUGAGGACACUGUAAAAGGUGGCCAAGGUAAAUGCAGAUGAACCGCUUCUAAUAGUCCAUUGACUUGGACAAUACUUUUAUGAUCUGAUCUCAAAUCAGGUAGGACUACCCGCUGAACUUAAGC
rnacentral:misc_RNA from 1 species